UUUUUGAUCAGUGUCGUAAAAAGAUUCAAACCACACUUUGCAACAUUAAUCAUGGACAUGUCUAUGUGAAUGGGCCUUUUGAAACAAAGAAAUCUCAUGAAUAAACCACAAAUGGUCGGACAAAAUUGGGGUAUGACAGCUGCCCCUAUUUAAUUACCUCAAAUCGGUAAGUGAUAAUGACGGUAGUCUUUACUCAUUCACGACGAGAGAUAAU
rnacentral:lncRNA from 1 species